UACAGAGGGUGCAAGCGUUGUUCGGAAUUACUGGGCGUAAAGCGCGCGCAGGCGGCCGUUUAAGUCUGUCGGUCAAACGCCGGGGCUCAACCCCGUGCUCGCCGCGGAUACUGGACGGCUGGAGACAGGUAGAGGCAGGCGGAAUUCCGGGUGUAGCGGUGGAAUGCGUAGAGAUCCGGAAGAACACCAGAGGCGAAGGCGGCCUGCUGGGCCUUGUCUGACGCUGAGGCGCGAAAGCGUGGGGAGCGAACAGG
rnacentral:rRNA from 1 species